GACGAACGCUGGCGGCGUGCUUAACACAUGCAAGUCGAACGGAAAGGCCCUGCUUUUGUGGGGUGCUCGAGUGGCGAACGGGUGAGUAACACGUGAGUAACCUGCCCUUGACUUUGGGAUAACUUCAGGAAACUGGGGCUAAUACCGGAUAGGAGCUCCUGCUGCAUGGUGGGGGUUGGAAAGUUUCGGCGGUUGGGGAUGGACUCGCGGCUUAUCAGCUUGUUGGUGGGGUAGUGGCUUACCAAGGCUUUGACGGGUAGCCGGCCUGAGAGGGUGACCGGCGACAUGGGGACUGAGAGACGGCGCAGACGCGUACGGGAGGCAGCAGGGGGGAACAUGGCAGAAUGGGCGGGAGCCAGAUACGGCAGCGCCGCGUGCGUGAUGACGGGCUACGGGUUGAAAACAGCUUUCGCCUGAGACGAAGCGUGAGUGACGGUAACGAGUAAAGAAGCACCGGCUAACUACGUG
rnacentral:rRNA from 1 species